GAACGCUGGCGGCGUGCUUAACACAUGCAAGUCGAGCGGAAAGGCCCUUCGGGGUACUCGAGCGGCGAACGGGUGAGUAACACGUGAGCAACCUGCCCUAGGCUUUGGGAUAACCCCGGGAAACCGGGGCUAAUACCGAAUAGGACCACUGACCGCAUGGUUGGUGGUGGAAAGUUUUUCGGCCUGGGAUGGGCUCGCGGCCUAUCAGCUUGUUGGUGGGGUGAUGGCCUACCAAGGCGACGACGGGUAGCCGGCCUGAGAGGGCGACCGGCCACACUGGGACUGAGACACGGCCCAGACUCCUACGGGAGGCAGCAGUGGGGAAUAUUGCACAAUGGGCGGAAGCCUGAUGCAGCGACGCCGCGUGAGGGAUGACGGCCUUCGGGUUGUAAACCUCUUUCAGCAGGGACGAAGCGUAAGUGACGGUACCUGCAGAAGAAGCGCCGGCCAACUACGUGCCAGCAGCCGCGGUAAGACGUAGGGCGCGAGCGUUGUCCGGAUUUAUUGGGCGUAAAGAGCUCGUAGGCGGC
rnacentral:rRNA from 1 species